GAUGAAGAACGCAGUGAAAUGCGAUAAGUAAUGUGAAUUGCAGAAUUCAGUGAAUCAUCGAAUCUUUGAACGCACAUUGCGCCCGCCAGUAUUCUGGCGGGCAUGCCUGUUCGAGCGUCAUUUCAACCCUCAAGCCCCAGCGGCCUGGUGUUGGGGACCGGCGACCUCGCCCGAGCCCGCCCUCCGGGGCGCGUGCCCGGUGCGUCCGCCGCCCCCGAAAUGAAUUGGCGGCCUCGUCGCGGCCUCCUCUGCGUAGUAGCACAACCUCGCAAGCGGGAGCGCGACGCGGACACUGCCGUAAAACGCCCAACUUUUUUAGAGUUGACCUCGGAUCAGGUAGGAAUACCCGCUGAACUUAAGCAUAUCAAUAAGCGGAGGA
rnacentral:misc_RNA from 1 species